CUACGGGCGGCACCAGUGAGGAAUAUUGCACAAUGGGGGGAACCCUGAUGCAGCAACGCCGCGUGGAGGAUGACGCCUUUCUUUUUGGAGGAGGAGGGUAUAUGUCAAGAAAAUGACGGUAGCAUAUGAAUAAGCACCGGCUAACUCCGUGCCAGCAGCCGCGGUAAUACGGAGGGUGCAAGCGUUACUCGGAAUCACUGGGCGUAAAGGACGCGUAGGCGGGUUGGAAAGCCAGGUGUGAAAUCCUACAGCUUAACUGUAGAACUGCACUUGAAACUUCUAAUCUAGAGUAUGGGAGGGGGAGAUGGAAUUAGUGGUGUAGGGGUAAAAUCCGUAGAUAUCACUAGGAAUACCUAAAGCGAAGGCGAUCUCCUGGAACAUUACUGACGCUAAGGCGUGAAAGCGUGGGGAGCAAACAGGAUUAGAUACCCUUGUAGUC
rnacentral:rRNA from 1 species